UCCGUAGGCGGGCUUUUAAGUCAGUGGUGAAAGCCUACAGCUUAACUGUAGAAUUGCCGUUGAUACUGGAAGUCUUGAGUAUAGUUGAAGUGGGCGGAAUACGUCAUGUAGCGGUGAAAUGCAUAGAUAUGACGUAGAACACCUAUUGCGAAGGCAGCUCACUAAGCUAAAACUGACGCUGAGGGACGAAAGCGUGGGGAGCAAACAGGAUUAGAUACCCUGGUAGUCC
rnacentral:rRNA from 1 species